CCAAUCCACAUCGGCCGGACC
rnacentral:siRNA from 1 species